CUUCCCGGCCGCGGGAAGGCGCCUUUGCGAAACGUUGCGCCGCGGCCCGGACGCCGCGGGACAGGUUUAUCCCUCUCCUCCCGCUCCCCCGCCUCAGCCCCAGACACGCGCGCGUGUGUGCACGCGGGCUCUGAACCAGGCUCUGCCCUGGGCGCAGAGGCGAGGAAAAUGGUUAUGUGCGAAGGGCCAUUCCGAUGCUCACUUCUAGUCUUUGAAAAUAAGGAGCAGACUAUUUGAGAUGAUCUUACAGUGAGAGAUGGAAAAAGCGAGGUAUUUUGAGUGAAAACUCCUGGAUUCGAAGUCCUCUCUCUGACAUUGACCACUUGUGUGACCCUGGGGAAAGAGACCAUGGAGGACACUGUCAGAUGAGGAACUGGGAGACAUGAAAGGAGGCCACAGUCUGGCUACAAAGGUGGAGAGGGCAGGAGACCUUCAGCUGCAUUGCCAAGGUCAAGAGCACGAAGGAACGCCCGGCAAGGCGGUACUCCCAGGGGCAGAACAACAAUGCCUGCGCAGGUGGAGGAUCAACUUCUGAUUUCCAGGUGCAGCCACGACUGCAAGACAUUGGGCAGUUUUCAUUUCUUUUUUGACUCACUAGUGUUUGGAACUUCUUCUUACAUUUGGGUAUUUACAAUCUGAUAAAUCUUGGUCUCUAGAAGCUAACAAGACCCCCUUACUCUCUUUCCCAGCCCGA